CUUCGUUUGGAGGAAGGUAGGGUUUGUUCUAACGCUUUGCACAAAGGCGGGAAACGGUCAUCAAAGCUAUUGCGAAGGGAAAAGCCAAUGCAUUAAUUCGAUCCAAGAGGACUCGCCUCGUUGGAUUUGCAGCAACCUAAUCUCUCGCUCAGGAAGAAAACGCCACGAUAAAGAGUUUUCUGUCCUCCUCGUUUGCACGGAGCAGCAAACGCAGAGACAAAAGAAACGGGCCCCGACUGACAGGGGCUCACUCUGUCCCCCAGGCCAGAGUGCAGUGGCGCGACCACAGCCUUCUGCAGCCUCAGCUUCCGUGCUCAAGGGACGCGCCCGCCUCAGCCUCCCAACAUGCUGGGAUUACGGGCGUGAGCCACCGCCCCGGAACAACUUAAUUAAAAAAAAAAAGCCAUA
rnacentral:sRNA from 1 species